GGGUCUGUAGCUCAGCUGGUCAGAGCACACGCUUGAUAAGCGUGGGGUCGCUGGUUCAAAUCCAGCCAGACCCACCA
rnacentral:tRNA from 1 species